CCUACGGGUGGCAGCAGUGGGGAAUAUUGGACAAUGGGCGAAAGCCUGAUCCAGCCAUGCCGCGUGUGUGAAGAAGGCCUUCGGGUUGUAAAGCACUUUCAGUGGGGAAGAAAGCCUUGGGGCUAAUACCCUCGAGGAAGGACAUCACCCACAGAAGAAGCACCGGCUAACUCCGUGCCAGCAGCCGCGGUAAUACGGAGGGUGCGAGCGUUAAUCGGAAUUACUGGGCGUAAAGCGCGCGUAGGCGGUCUGAUAAGCCGGUUGUGAAAGCCCCGGGCUCAACCUGGGAACGGCAUCCGGAACUGUCAGGCUAGAGUGCAGGAGAGGAAGGUAGAAUUCCUGGUGUAGCGGUGAAAUGCGUAGAGAUCGGGAGGAAUACCAGUGGCGAAGGCGGUCUUCUGGACUGACACUGACGCUGAGGUGCGAAAGCGUGGGUAGCAAACAGGAUUAGAUACCCCAGUAGUC
rnacentral:rRNA from 1 species